CCAAGGUCCCGUUCGGCGGACCUCCGGACGACGGUUCAGUACCCGGCACGCGACAAGACUGGCCAAG
rnacentral:ncRNA from 1 species